GACAAAGUGCGGUGACGCGUUGUGUUGCGAUUGGGCCGCACGUUUCGUGGCACGUGCAAGCAGGGCAUGACGGAACGCUUCGUGAUUGGACACGUGGCUAGCGUGGCCGCGCAGAGAGAGACCAACGCCUCCUAUAAAGCGGUGGAUGGUGUCCAGCUACGUGUCAUUUCGAACGCGACUGCGGCCUUCUCGCGGCAACAGAACCGCUUUUCCGAGCAACGUCCGUGGCUUUCUGGUGCCCCUCCGCUACCCCGAGCAGACGACCAGGGCCGCCGUCCGCUACCCGUUGACUGCAAGCGAGGUCUUUGGUUGUCUGGCAUUCUCCUGGCCUACCAGGAACAAGGAUACAAGGCGACUUCCUGGGACGCGCUGCGUUCUAGCGACGUCCGGCAACUCCAGGGACGAGUUUGUGCUGCUCCAUGAGACAGCCACUGGGGAGCCCCAGACCCGACAACCGGGUGCACGCCACCCGACACGCCACCGGCAUCCUGAGCCAUGCAUACGGGCCGCUGCUAGCAGGCAGCGCCAGUGCACGCACAUGAAGAACUAAAGGGCGCCCAUCGAACACUGAUGUCUUUCCGAGGACAACGUGGGAAACCUCCUGCGAUGACACUUUCUUCCUCGGAUGAGACGCUGUAUUAAGAGCCCCGAACAGACUACAGUCCUUCCUGCUCCAGACCACCCGCAUCCCACUUCAGGUCUUCGAACGUCUGCUACGUGGAAGCAACAUAUCUUGGUUUUGAGGCCCAUUGUGCUUAGGCACUUCGGCGGCCUUAGCAACACUUCCAGGGAAGACACCACAAUUAUGAAGACUUCUUACACGUGAGCGUGCUGCACUAUGCUGCGAGAACUCCAGGCUUACUGCCAAACGCAAUACUUGCAGUCGUACUUGCAGACGCCGGCGACAGAAGAGGACACCGAAUAAGCAGAUUUUCCCGGAGUGAUCACGGUGCAUGCCAUCGACAGUUCCCGGGCGUAGCGAAAUAUUCUUCUGGGCAAAGUCUUCCAGUGUCCAGGACGGUUCAUCAUGUGACAUGUUAUCCACGAAUGCCGACAGUCUGUGCAACCAGAAAGGCUGCAGGAGAUACUUUAAUCUAGCUUUUUAUUCCCCUCUCUCUUGUCAAGCAACAACUAGAACGAAAGCAUCGGUCUUCCUGUAUGAUAUCGUAACGUGUGGCCUGCUGUACGGAGAAGUAUUAAGGCUUGUUAGCGCAAGUGGUAGCGCGGGCGAUGGCAGCGCGGUUGAUAGCAGGGAUAAUACAUAUACGUAUUAUUCUUGCUAAUAACACUACCAAGCCAGCGAGGGAAAGAGCGUAGCCGCCCUCUGACUUACCCUUGUCUGUGUAUGAAGCGCUGUCCCAAACCAAAACUACCCCCCGAGGCGCGUGGCUCGGGUUUGGGGGCUGCUUGUGGAAUUGAAUGAUGACGACGGAAGCAAUGGUUGUGCGUUCUACUUUGUAGACCCCAACUCUUCCCCGAUCUGACAAGG